GACGAACGCUGGCGGCGUGCCUAAUACAUGCAAGUAGAACGCUGAAGGAGGAGCUUGCUUCUCUGGAUGAGUUGCGAACGGGUGAGUAACGCGUAGGUAACCUGCCUGGUAGCGGGGGAUAACUAUUGGAAACGAUAGCUAAUACCGCAUAAUAGUAGAUGUUGCAUGACAUUUGCUUAAAAGGUGCAAUUGCAUCACUACCAGAUGGACCUGCGUUGUAUUAGCUAGUUGGUGAGGUAACGGCUCACCAAGGCAACGAUACAUAGCCGACCUGAGAGGGUGAGCGGCCACACUGGGACUGAGACACGGCCCAGACUCCUACGGGAGGCAGCAGUAGGGAAUCUUCGGCAAUGGACGGAAGUCUGACCGAGCAACGCCGCGUGAGUGAAGAAGGUUUUCGGAUCGUAAAGCUCUGUUGUAAGAGAAGAACGAGUGUGAGAGUGGAAAGUUCACACUGUGACGGUAGCUUACCAGAAAGGGACGGCUAACUACGUG
rnacentral:rRNA from 1 species